UACGUAGGUGGCAAGCGUUGUCCGGAUUUACUGGGCGUAAAGGAUGUGUAGGCGGAUAUUUAAGUGAGAUGUGAAAUCCCCGGGCUUAACUUGGGGGCUGCAUUUCAAACUGGAUGUCUAGAGUGCAGGAGAGGAAAGCAGAAUUCCUAGUGUAGCGGUGAAAUGCGUAGAGAUUAGGAAGAAUACCAGUGGCGAAAGCGGCUUCCUGGCCUGUGCCUGACGCUGAUAUGCGAAAGCGUGGGUAGCAAACGGG
rnacentral:rRNA from 1 species